AACAUCACAAUGCAAAAUCUACUUAAAACUGGUCCCAGACAGGAUUACCAGGAUUUAUAUUAGGAUUUACGUUUUAUUAUUAUUAUUCCCCCUCUCCUGUCGGCGCUCCACGCAGUAUCCAGAUGGUGGCGGAAAUGCACCUAAGCUGGUUUGCAGACGCCAUUUAAACCUUAGAAGAAGAAUAACAACCGCAUUAGUUGUUUAGAGUUGUGACGAUUGCAAAAAUGGCAAAGAGGUGUGUUUUCGGCUGUUUGUCGAACAAAACCCUUUUCGGUAUCCCACGUCCACCUUGGCUACGGUCCCGCUGGCUUGAGUUUUUGCAUUUUGAAGAGGAAGGGUUAACGGUAAACUCGCGGCUGUGCUCGAGGCAUUUCACGCCCGAGUGUUUCCAGGAUUUAACCCAGCACCAAAUGGGGUUUGCCAGGGUCUUGUAUCUGAAGAACACCGCUGUUCCGUCGGUGUAAACGGUUGGCGCAUCACAAAGUAUGAAGGUAAGUGUAUCUAGAUGGCGUGCUUAUUUUAAUAAUGCAUACCACACGCGUUUUAGCCUUUACUGAUCGGGCAUUUGUCGCGUCUGUCCGACAGCCUCUGACACGGGAUGUGGGCUGCCAGUGUACCGCUCAAACCCCAAAAAAGAGCACCUCGGUUCAAGCCUCGUUCCCAACCCCUAAACCGAAACGACGUAGUAAAGCUGUUCAAGUGAAGUCUUCAGAGCAUGCUGAUAAUGUUUGCGCCCAUCUGGAAACACCGGAGCGCACAUCAACGCCAAUGAAACGGCCGCGAAUGGAAGAAAGCAUCGAGGAUUUCAACGACAGAUCCUCGAUGACCCUGACAGACCCAAAGGAUUUCACCUAAGUAUGAACCUGAAAUCACAGAAGACCAUGAAAGACAUUGUGCCAAACAUGGAAGUCACACAGUGCUGAAUAUGAGUGACAGUGGGGGGGGGACAUUAAAUUAGAAAAAUGAUGCUCUUGGGAAAGCGCGGAUGUGGAGAGAUUCCAUACUGGACAAAAAGCAUCAUAAACCUCCUCUUCUGGUGCACAUCCUUCAAGAUGAGAAGAAGCUGUUGCAAAGUCCAUUGGAUUGCCAGUUAUGUGGAAGAUGUUCACCAUCACAACAGUGAUAUAUUCCCUGACUGCAUCCACACACCUCUAGAGGAGAAAAUGUGGCCGAAACCAGACUGUUGAGACGCUGCUGAGGCUGCUUUCGCGGGAGGCCUUCUUCAAGCCUGGACCAUUCAGGAACAUCUAAACGAAGGUCCCUAGCCACCUGUGUGAUGCUAAUUAGUAGGGAUGUGCAGCGGAGCCAGUAUCUGUAACAAUCACUAAUUUAUUUGUAUCUGAAUACGGAUAAAACCGGAAGUAUGCGGGCUUGAACUGGAAGUUAUGUCUAUGGUUUUACAGCCUUUUUCGUAGUUAUCACUGAACAAAUUUGCUGUGUUUAACUGUAAUAAUUAUUUUUUAUGAUUAGAAUAUUUAUUUAAAUGUCUUCUAACAGUCGGAGCCAUAGACACUAAAAAAAUGGACGACGCACCUUCACUCUCUUCCACUGAAGAAAAGUGAAGCCGCCAGUGUCCCAAUAGGGCGCGGAUAUAUUGUGCUGAUUUGGGACCCGAGUCUGCGCUAGUGAGCGAAGUGGAGCCGCGUCCUGCCCACACUAUACUGCCCACCUGAGUCGAUCCCAAGCACAUGCACCUGAACCUUUUUUAAUUAGCCUGACUGCUCUAAUUUUUGUCUGCCGAUUGCCGUACAAGAGGCUUGUGCUAAAAUAAGGUAAAUGCAACUCAAAUCUCCUCCUGAACAUCCCGAAAAAGUUUGUUGGAGUGAACUGAGGCACCAACGAACUUUUUCGGGAUCUUCAGGAGGAGAUUUGAGUUGACAUUUAAAUAUACACAAAUAGUAGAAUGUGUAUGAUGUUGUAUUUUAGUUGAUAUUCUUGCCAAGCUCUGAUUUCUGAGAGAUGCACGGAGAGGCAACAGCAAUGAUUGAUUUGCGCUCAUUUCAUUCAUAAAGUUUACAUUCAUUCACUUCACACUCAUUAUUGUGUAGUGACUUUAGAGUUUUAUGUAUAAUAUUGCGCUGAUCCCCUGGCUCACCUGUUAUCCAGCAAACACCAGGAGUGACCAUGCCAGCCUCAGCCAAAUAUUAUUCAGCAGAAUUAUCCGUUAUAUAGCCAUUAUCCAUGCCUUUCUGAAUAAGGUAUUCGGCUUCGGGCACAGCCCUGCUAAUUAGAGACCUGAUGUGAAGGAAUCUGUGACCAGACACUGCUUUUGUGUUUAAAAAAAAAAACACUGGUCUCUAAAUUGUGUGUGUGUGUGUGUGUGUGUGUGU